rnacentral:rRNA from 1 species
UACGUAGGUGGCGAGCGUUGUCCGGAUUUACUGGGCGUAAAGAGCGCGCAGGCGGUCGUUCAAGUCGGAUGUGAAAGCCCCCGGCCCAACUGGGGAGGGUCAUUCGAUACUGAUCGACUCGAAGGCAGGAGAGGGAAGCGGAAUUCCCGGUGUAGUGGUGAAAUGCGUAGAUAUCGUAAGGAAGACCAGUGGCGAAGGCGAGUCUCUGGACAGCAACUGACGCUGAGGCACGAAGGCCAGGGGAGCAAACGGG